rnacentral:rRNA from 1 species
UACGAAGGGGGCUAGCGUUGUUCGGAUUUACUGGGCGUAAAGCGCACGUAGGCGGAUCGUUAAGUCGGGGGUGAAAUCCUGGAGCUCAACUCCAGAACUGCCUUCGAUACUGGCGAUCUAGAGUCCGGAAGAGGUGAGUGGAACUCCUAGUGUAGAGGUGGAAUUCGUAGAUAUCAGGAAGAACACCAGUGGCGAAGGCGGCUCACUGGUCCGGUACUGACGCUGAGGUGCGAAAGCGUGGGGAGCAAACGGG